GAUGAACGCUGGCGGCGUGCUUAACACAUGCAAGUCGAACGAAGAUGCCGGAGUGCUUGCACUUUGGCAGACUGAGUGGCGGACGGGUGAGUAACGCGUGGGUAACCUGCCUUAUACAGGGGGAUAACAGUUGGAAACGGCUGGUAAUACCGCAUAAGCGCACGGUAUCGCAUGAUACAGUGUGAAAAACUCCGGUGGUAUAAGAUGGACCCGCGUCUGAUUAGCUUGUUGGUGAGGUAACGGCCCACCAAGGCGACGAUCAGUAGCCGGCCUGAGAGGGUGAACGGCCACAUUGGGACCGAGACACGGCCCAAACUCCUACGGGAGGCAGCAGUGGGGAAUAUUGCACAAUGGGGGAAACCCUGAUGCAGCGACGCCGCGUGAGUGAUGAAGUAUUUCGGUAUGUAAAACUCUAUCAGCAGGGAAGAUAAUGACGGUACCUGACUAAGAAGCACCGGCUAAAUACGUG
rnacentral:rRNA from 1 species